rnacentral:snRNA from 1 species
UUCUGCUUGAAUAGCCUC